GCUUCCCAGGACGCUCCCGGCUGUCCAGCUUCGCAUCCCGGUCCCGGACAGUAUUAGUGGCAGGCUGCUCUAUGGCUCUUUCCUCAUUGGGAUCCAGGUUGGGGGCCACCAAUACCUCCUUCUCCAGCUCCUCAAUCUGCUCAGGAGACAGGUUGGACAAAAGGACAUCCAGGUCAGGGUCCUCGCUCACCUGCCGCCCUAUCCGUGUCAGUCCCCUCACCUUCCUCCUGGACAUGGUCGCCUCUGGCUGGAGAAGAAAACACCCUCACAGCAGAACAGAUGAAAACGAAGACAAGCUGAGCAUGAGAUAACAAAGAAAUCCCCACAGAGAGCUGACUAAAGGGGUCCGACAGAGCGAGAGGAGCCGUCAACUCUUCUGAGCAUCCUGACUUUUAUACAACAGAUAAGAGUCAACCAGCUCUCAUACACACCCUGUUAUCUGCAGGUAUGACCCUCACUCUGUCCACUACCGGAUUAAAGCCAAGCAAACAUGUGAAAACAGAUGUUCACCAUUCCUCAAGUCAAAUGUCUUAAGCAGAGAAUGAAUGUCAAACAAAGCAUGUGACCUUGUAGAAUGUAGUUUUGGGUUACACUAAUUGCGAGGGAUAGAUAUCAGAGUAAGUGCAUGGAUGAAGGAUGCAGGUUGGUUACCUCACUUGGAAUGGGUGCGACAUUUUCCACAUUAGACUGUCAGUGGGAAUCAAGUUCAGUGUCAGGACAGACAGGAGAACCCAACUCAGCAUAUGCUCUGUUCCUUUAAAGGAUGUAGAAAAUAAAGGAGAAUAAAGUGCC